rnacentral:rRNA from 1 species
CAGCAGCCGCGGUAAUACGUAGGUCCCGAGCGUUGUCCGGAUUUAUUGGGCGUAAAGGGCUCGCAGGCGGUUUCUUAAGUCUGAUGUGAAAGCCCCCGGCUCAACCGGGGAGGGUCAUUGGAAACUGGGAAACUUGAGUGCAGAAGAGGAGAGUGGAAUUCCACGUGUAGCGGUGAAAUGCGUAGAGAUGUGGAGGAACACCAGUGGCGAAGGCGACUCUCUGGUCUGUAACUGACGCUGAGGAGCGAAAGCGUGGGGAGCGAACAGGAUUAGAUACCCGUGUAGUCCCUGUCUCUUAUAC